rnacentral:snRNA from 1 species
GUGCUCGCUUCGGCAGCACGUAUGCUGCAAUCGGAACGAUACAGAGAAGAGGAGCGUGGCCCCUGCGCAAGGAUGACACGCAAAUUCGUGAAGCGUUCCGUAUUUUA